UACGUAGGGCGCAAGCGUUAUCCGGAAUUAUUGGGCGUAAAGAGCUCGUAGGCGGUUUGUCGUGUCUGCCGUGAAAGUCCGGGGCUCAACUCCGGAUCUGCGGUGGGUACGGGCAGACUAGAGUGAUGUAGGGGAGACUGGAAUUCCUGGUGUAGCGGUGAAAUGCGCAGAUAUCAGGAGGAACACCGGUGGCGAAGGCGGUUCUCUGGGCCUUACCUGACGCUGAGGAGCGAAAGCGUGGGGAGCAAACAGG
rnacentral:rRNA from 1 species